rnacentral:rRNA from 1 species
UACAGAGGGUGCGAGCGUUGUCCGGAAUCACUGGGCGUAAAGGGCGCGUAGGUGGCGACCCAAGUCUGUGGUGAAAGCUCGCCGCUUAACGGCGAGUCGGCCACGGAUACUGGGUGGCUCGAGCACUGUAGGGGCAGAUGGAAUUCCGGGUGUAGCGGUGGAAUGCGUAGAGAUCGGCAGGAACACCCAGGGGGAAACCAGUCGACUGGGCAUCUACUGACGCUGAGGUGCGAGAGCGUGGGGAGCGAACCGG